CAUCUGCUCGAGGAGAAAGAGCGUGAUCUGGAAUUGGCUGCCCGGAUUGGCCAAUCACUGCUCAAGCAGAAUAAAGCCCUGACUGAACGCAAUAAACUACUGGACGAACAUCUGGAAAUCACCAAGGAAGAGAUUUCCCAGCUGCGUCAUGAGCUCUCCAUGAGAGACGAUCUCCUGCACUUCUAUGCCAGCACUGAAGAUAUAGAGCAUGCCUCAGAAAC